UAUCCUACGGGAGGCAGCAGUGGGGGAUAUUGCACAAUGGGGGAAACCCUGAUGCAGCGACGCCGCGUGUGGGAAGACGGUCCUCUGGAUUGUAAACCACUGUCCCCAGGGACGAAGAUGACGGUACCUGGGGAGGAAGCUCCGGCUAACUACGUGCCAGCAGCCGCGGUAAUACGUAGGAUGCGAGCGUUAUCCGGAUUUAUUGGGUUUAAAGGGUGCGUAGGCGGUCCGUUAAGUCGGCGGUAAAAUUGCGGGGCUCAACCCCGUCGAGCCGUUGAAACUGGCAGACUUGAGUUGGCGGGAAG
rnacentral:rRNA from 1 species